UAUUAAUACAUGUGUGGGUAGCACCAUGAAACUAAAAAGAUACAAUGGUAGGAAGGAAAGCACAACAAGGGAGGGGGCGGUACCUCCCCCUGGACAAUAAGACAAUAAAAUGUGGGGACGGAGAACAUUGCCCAAGCAUACCCACAAAGUUAUAUACAUAGAGGAUUCACAGAGCCUGGAUGUUGAAGCAACUGGCGGCCAUCUUAGAGUGACGGAUGGCGAGACAAAUUUAAUAUCACAUAUAAACUUAUUACCAUUGUCAUCGUAACCGAAAUUAUCAAAACUGAAAGAGAAGAUACACACAUAAGGUCGGUAUUAUAAGACACUUUUUCUUCUCACGUCAGCUAUUUCUAAUGGUCAAAGAGGGGUCAGUUGGGUUCUAAUGAGUGUUUCUUCAGUUUCGUGGUACACUACCCCCACAACUCCUACGAAAGCCUUGUCAAAUAUGUGUUUUUGAACGACGAAAUGACUUAGAAUACUUCUUCUUCUUUAGUGUUUUAUGGUACGACCCUAUAGUAUCCCCUCUCCUUGUUUUGAGCGCCGAUUCAAAGGCUACACCGACUACUGGGUGACUCUCCUACAUCAAGUUCAAGUUUAUUUUUGUGUUGUUUACGUUGCGUCAUUGGGAGGUGUGGCACGUGACACACUGACGGAGAAGAGGAAGACACAUCCACCACCACCACCACUACUACAAGCAGCACGCAACCACCACCACCACAGCUUGCAGCACAGUACACCACUACCAUAACACCCCCGAGUCUGGUGGUGAACUUGAGAAUGCUGAGCAAAUGGCCAACAUCGUGCUGUCCAUCCUGACCCGCAUUAACAAGUCUCAGCUGUGGCCGGGAGAUUCAGGCGAUGCCUUCAAAAAGAUUUCAGUAACCUACACAGACCACAGUUAUGUCAU